rnacentral:lncRNA from 10 species
CCGGCCCACAGCCCUCGCCGCCCGCCCGCCCGGCGGGCCCUGGCUCAGCACUCUUCUCACAGCAGGUCUUUGUGCCCCAAUCUGGCAGGUGCGGGGGUGCGACGGGGUCCUUGGCACAGAGCAGCCCUCUGGUUGCAUGUGACAGCGGCGGCCAAGGUCUCCCCUGCGCAUAAAUGUGGAGCUCGCUCGGCAGCAGCAGAACUCCCGGCUCAGAGAGUUCUCCACCGCUCCUCCCAGGCUCACGAGGCUCACGGGCUACCCAGCGCCAGCGGCCCAGGAGGCUGGACCACAGGCCUCAGUCCCGACUUCUCCCUGCUGCCCGGCACGGGACCCUCCCCCAGGACAGCCACCUCCCAGUGCUGAAGAGCCGGCCCGCCUCAGAGCCGCCCGCCGUUCCUUUUUCCUAUGCAUAUACUUCUUUGAGGAUCUGGCCUAAAGAGCUGGCUGGGAGGAUCCACAACUCAUUCUUUGGACAUUUUCUUUGCAGACUACGAAGCUGCACCGUGUGGGGCCCACUUUUUAUACAAGCGGGUGGCGGUGGAUCCAGGCGCAGACGGGAGUGAGGCGUGGCGGAGACGCGUGCACGCUGGGUCUGUGCACUUUUGCUGCUGCUGCUUUUUUUUUUUUUUUUUUUUUUUGAGAUGGAGUCUCGUUCUGUCACCCAGGCUGGAGUGCAGUGGCGCGAUCUCGGCUCACUACAACCUCUGUCUCCCGGGUUUAAGCGACUUUCCUGUCUCAGCCUCCCAAGUAGCUGAAACGACAGGCGCCUGCCACCAUACCCGGCUAAUUUUUUUAUUUUUAGUAGAGAUAGGGUUUCACCUUGUUAGGCUGGUCUUGAACUCCUGACCUCAUGAUCCACCUCACUCGGCCUCCCAAAGUGCUGGGAUUACAGGCGUGAGCCACAGCGCCCGGCUGGCUGUUGCUUCUUAACACCUUUAUUACUUUUGUAAUCAUGGGUAUGAGUUGAUUUUCUGGUCAGAAAUUUCAGUAGAGCUAAUUUCAUUUAAAUGUGUGAGAUGUGGUAAAGUUUUGACAAUAAAUACAAAUUUUGACAAAGCAGCUCUGUCGUGCUGGUCUCCUCUCGUUCACGGUGGUUGGACGUCACAUUAGUCACGUGUGGACUUGGGGGAACUUAGUUAAAAAUGCAUAAACACGGGGGGAUGAAACGGCUCCUGGGGCCUCGGUUGGGGGCCUGGGCUGGGCACCGGUCUGGGGCCACCCUUCUGAUGACCAGAGCCUGGGACCGGCCGGCAGUGUUGGGAGAGCCCAGAGGGA